AACGAACGCUGGCGGCGCGCCUAAUACAUGCAAGUCGAGCGAGAAGGUGUAGCAAUACACUUGUAAAGCGGCGAACGGGUGAGGAAUACAUGGGUAAUCUACCAUCGAGUGGGGAAUAACCAGCCGAAAGGUUGGCUAAUACCGCGUACGCCUCCGAAUCUUCGGGUUCGGACGGGAAAGCCACACUGUGAGUGCGGCGCUCUUUGAUGAGCUCAUGUCCUAUCAGCUUGUUGGUAGGGUAACGGCCUACCAAGGCUUUGACGGGUAGCUGGUCUGAGAGGACGAUCAGCCACACUGGCACUGCGACACGGGCCAGACUCCUACGGGAGGCAGCAGUAAGGAAUAUUGCGCAAUGGGCGAAAGCCUGACGCAGCGACGCCGCGUGGGGGAUGAAGGUCUUCGGAUUGUAAACCCCUUUCGGGAGGGAAGAUGGAGCGAGCAAUCGUUCGGACGGUACCUCCAGAAGCAGCCACGGCCAACUUCGUGCCAGCAGCCG
rnacentral:rRNA from 1 species